rnacentral:rRNA from 1 species
CAGUCGCCACGGUAACACGUAGGGUGCAAGCGUUAAUCGGAAUUACUGGGCGUAAAGCGUGCGCAGGCGGUUUGUUAAGACAGAUGUGAAAUCCCCGGGCUUAACCUGGGAACUGCAUUUGUGACUGGCAAGCUAGAGUAUGGCAGAGGGGGGUGGAAUUCCGCGUGUAGCAGUGAAAUGCGUAGAGAUGUGGAGGAAUACCGAUGGCGAAGGCAGCCCCCUGGGCCAAUACUGACGCUCAUGCACGAAAGCGUGGGGAGCAAACAGGAUUAGAUACCCCCGUAGUCCCUGUCUCUUAUAC